GUUGUAAUGAUGACAACCGUUGAUAAUAGUUAAAUGGAAGAGUGGUGCUUCCCCAUGUCUUUUUUUUUUUUUAAGCUAGAAGAUGCUUUCAGGGAGAUGGAGACAAAAAGUACAUCCUUGAAGAAAUCUAAACGGAGUAUUGUAAAAGGUUGUUUUUUGGGCCCAUUGCAAACUGCUACUUGUGAGAAUGUUCUCCACUCACAAAAGUAGCUUGGAUGUGUAAAUAACGUCCUUUAGGCACAGUGUAAUGCUGAGUGUGGUUUCAUCUGUUUGGUGAUGGUAGAUUUCAAGAGAAUUUAUGUAUUUUAAUGAUUCCCAUCUGCUGACAUAAGUAAGAUUAAAUAAGUAAGCCAGAGAAAACAGGCCUGGAGAAAGAAACUGUUCUGUAUUCCUGACUGUUCUUACUUAAUUAAAAGGUAUAAUUAUACCAGUUGCAUUAUAAUUGUAAGAUGUACUUUCUUAAUGAGAUUCAAAUGAUGCCUGAGAAAUUCUGUCUUUCGGAUUUACUGAAAUUUUUUUUAAUUUUUAUUUUUUAAAGGAACUGGUCUAAGCGUGGCUAGAGAUGAACAGCAGGUCAAAAAUCAACCUUUACUUAGUCUAAGUAUCAACAGAAAUUUCAGGGUCUGGAAAAAGGGCAGGACUGUUAGAUAAAUUCCCAGGUCUACGAAUGAGCAAGUUAUUAUAAUUAGGAAAGGAUCAAACGUCACCUAUUCAGUAAUACUGUAACAGAAGACAAAGGUAAUAAUGAUUUUUCAAAGAACUUCUGACAUGCCUGCUCUGUGCUCCUUCCAUGAAUCAGUUCUCUUGGGAAGUUUCAACUUCAUUGUAAUGUGAAAACACUGUGGGGCUGACUUUUGUGACCCCGUACAGAAAGAAGGGUUUGAAAUGCCCCAAGGGAACCUUGGCCUGGGAUUUCUUUGUGGUUCAAGAAAAGAUUGAGCAAUUUGAAUGUUGUUGAAGGGAGGCAUUCUGGGCAGAGUCUUAAAGAGCUAAUGUGGAUUAUAACUAGCAUGGAACAACCUUGUGGAAAAAAAUUCACAGACAUGAAGAAAACCCCACAUCCUUGUGAGAAAUGGGCAUGUGGAGGGCAGGAAUUGGGCAGAGUAAGG
ensembl:lncRNA